rnacentral:sRNA from 12 species
AACCGCACCCCACGGUGAAAAAUACACUGAUUAAAGAAGUGCUGGUAGACAUACACGUAUGGCCGAAGGCAGGGACUUAGGAAAAGCAGACAA